rnacentral:rRNA from 1 species
UUAAGCGACUAAGCGUACACGGUGGAUGCCCUGGCAGUCAGAGGCGAUGAAGGACGUGCUAAUCUGCGAAAAGCGUCGGUAAGGUGAUAUGAACCGUUAUAACCGGCGAUGUCCGAAUGGGGAAACCCAGUGCAAUUCGUUGCACUAUCGUUAACUGAAUACAUAGGUUAACGAGGCGAACCGGGGGAACUGAAACAUCUAAGUACCCCGAGGAAAAGAAAUCAACCGAGAUUCCCCCAGUAGCGGCGAGCGAACGGGGAGCAGCCCAGAGUCUGAAUCAGCUUGUGUGUUAGUGGAACGGUCUGGAAAGUCCGACGGUACAGGGUGAUAGUCCCGUACACCAAAAUGCACAGGUUGUGAACUCGAAGAGUAGGGCGGGACACGUGGUAUCCUGUCUGAAUAUGGGGGGACCAUCCUCCAAGGCUAAAUACUCCUGACUGACCGAUAGUGAACCAGUACCGUGAGGGAAAGGCGAAAAGAACCCCGGCGAGGGGAGUGAAAAAGAACCUGAAACCGUGUACGUACAAGCAGUGGGAGCACCUUCGGGUGUGACUGCGUACCUUUUGUAUAAUGGGUCAGCGACUUAUAUUCUGUAGCAAGGUUAACCGUAUAGGGGAGCCGCAGGGAAACCGAGUCUUAACUGGGCGUUAAGUUGCAGGGUAUAGACCCGAAACCCGGUGAUCUAGCCAUGGGCAGGUUGAAGGUUGGGUAACACUAACUGGAGGACCGAACCGACUAAUGUUGAAAAAUUAGCGGAUGACUUGUGGCUGGGGGUGAAAGGCCAAUCAAACCGGGAGAUAGCUGGUUCUCCCCGAAAGCUAUUUAGGUAGCGCCUCGUGAAUUCAUCUUCGGGGGUAGAGCACUGUUUCGGCUAGGGGGUCAUCCCGACUUACCAACCCGAUGCAAACUACGAAUACCGAAGAAUGUUAUCACGGGAGACACACGGCGGGUGCUAACGUCCGUCGUGAAGAGGGAAACAACCCAGACCGCCAGCUAAGGUCCCAAAGUCAUGGUUAAGUGGGAAACGAUGUGGGAAGGCACAGACAGCCAGGAUGUUGGCUUAGAAGCAGCCAUCAUUUAAAGAAAGCGUAAUAGCUCACUGGUCGAGUCGGCCUGCGCGGAAGAUGUAACGGGGCUAAACCAUGCACCGAAGCUGCGGCAGCGACACUAUGUGUUGUUGGGUAGGGGAGCGUUCUGUAAGCCUGCGAAGGUGNUGCUGGAGGUAUCAGAAGUGCGAAUGCUGACAUAAGUAACGAUAAAGCGGGUGAAAAGCCCGCUCGCCGGAAGACCAAGGGUUCCUGUCCAACGUUAAUCGGGGCAGGGUGAGUCGACCCCUAAGGCGAGGCCGAAAGGCGUAGUCGAUGGGAAACAGGUUAAUAUUCCUGUACUUGGUGUUACUGCGAAGGGGGGACGGAGAAGGCUAUGUUAGCCGGGCGACGGUUGUCCCGGUUUAAGCAUGUAGGCUGAUUAUCCAGGCAAAUCCGGAUAAUCAAGGCUGAGGUGUGAUGACGAGGCACUACGGUGCUGAAGUAACAAAUGCCCUGCUUCCAGGAAAAGCCUCUAAGCAUCAGGUAACAUCAAAUCGUACCCCAAACCGACACAGGUGGUCAGGUAGAGAAUACCAAGGCGCUUGAGAGAACUCGGGUGAAGGAACUAGGCAAAAUGGUGCCGUAACUUCGGGAGAAGGCACGCUGGUGUGUAGGUGAAGCCCCUGCGGGUGGAGCUGAGACCAGUCGAAGAUACCAGCUGGCUGCAACUGUUUAUUAAAAACACAGCACUGUGCAAACACGAAAGUGGACGUAUACGGUGUGACGCCUGCCCGGUGCCGGAAGGUUAAUUGAUGGGGUUAUCCGUAAGGAGAAGCUCUUGAUCGAAGCCCCGGUAAACGGCGGCCGUAACUAUAACGGUCCUAAGGUAGCGAAAUUCCUUGUCGGGUAAGUUCCGACCUGCACGAAUGGCGUAAUGAUGGCCAGGCUGUCUCCACCCGAGACUCAGUGAAAUUGAACUCGCUGUGAAGAUGCAGUGUACCCGCGGCAAGACGGAAAGACCCCGUGAACCUUUACUAUAGCUUGACACUGAACAUUGAGCCUUGAUGUGUAGGAUAGGUGGGAGGCUUUGAAGCGUGGACGCCAGUCUGCGUGGAGCCAACCUUGAAAUACCACCCUUUAAUGUUUGAUGUUCUAACGUUGGCCCCUUACCGGGGUUGCGGACAGUGUCUGGUGGGUAGUUUGACUGGGGCGGUCUCCUCCCAAAGCGUAACGGAGGAGCACGAAGGUUAGCUAAUCCUGGUCGGACAUCAGGAGGUUAGUGCAAUGGCAUAAGCUAGCUUGACUGCGAGCGUGACGGCGCGAGCAGGUGCGAAAGCAGGUCAUAGUGAUCCGGUGGUUCUGAAUGGAAGGGCCAUCGCUCAACGGAUAAAAGGUACUCCGGGGAUAACAGGCUGAUACCGCCCAAGAGUUCAUAUCGACGGCGGUGUUUGGCACCUCGAUGUCGGCUCAUCACAUCCUGGGGCUGAAGUAGGUCCCAAGGGUAUGGCUGUUCGCCAUUUAAAGUGGUACGCGAGCUGGGUUUAGAACGUCGUGAGACAGUUCGGUCCCUAUCUGCCGUGGGCGCUGGAGAAUUGAGGGGGGCUGCUCCUAGUACGAGAGGACCGGAGUGGACGCAUCACUGGUGUUCGGGUUGUCAUGCCAAUGGCACUGCCCGGUAGCUAAAUGCGGAAGAGAUAAGUGCUGAAAGCAUCUAAGCACGAAACUUGCCCCGAGAUGAGUUCUCCCUGAGACUUUAAGUCUCCUGAAGGAACGUUGAAGACGACGACGUUGAUAGGCCGGGUGUGUAAGCGCAGCGAUGCGUUGAGCUAACCGGUACUAAUGAACCGUGAGGCUUAACCUU